UGUAACAAAUUUACGUCAUUUAUUUAAUGUAUAGGGUAUUUUUCUGUUCUACCUCUGGAUGGCAUAUAAUUGUUUUAUAGAGUAUAUGAAGAAAAACCAAAGAGAGCGUUAUCUUACUUCCUCUAGCAAAACCUAAACAAACCUCCACCUUCCUCACCCGAGCCUCCAGCCUCCUCCUCUUCCUCCUCCCUUACGCAAACUGACAUUCUCCUCCUGAAACGAAACCUUUCUCCUUCUCCCUUUCUGGCAAAAUCUUUCAUAUAUAUUAAUAUAAGGUACUUCGACCAGGACAAAUAGAUUUGUCUCAGUUUGGAUUUCAUUCAAAUAAAUUGUCUACGAAUUUUAAAAAUAUGUGUGACUUCGCCAAAUCCAUUUCAUGAUGCUCUGGUUGAUGGUUGAUGGGACGGUAAGUGUGAGAUAUUGGAUCGAACUCUAGUAUGGUCGAAGGGUAGCUCCUUGGUUCGACAGGGUUAAGCAUGACGUCGAAGGUUGCUCACAUGCUGGUGUCGAAGUAUGCUGUAGUCGAAGAUGGGUCGAGCAUGCAGAUGUCGAAGAUGCUAGGGUUGUUAGCAUGUUAAAUUAGGUUUUAGUGUUUAAACCCUAAUUUGUUAAGUUAGCUUGUUUAUUAAGUUGGCUUGUGUAAUGGGCCUUGCUGAAAAAGCCCAUUAGUUAGUAUGUUAGGUUUUAUUAUAAAUAGCAUACUAGUCUCUCAUCAUUGCUAAGCUGCAAAUCUUAAUUUAGGGUGAGAGAGAUUAUUUGUUAUUCUUGUAAACUUGUAAUUUUGUUUUAAGAGAAAGUAAAAGAAUAGCAGUUAUAACCAA